GGGCGUAAGAGUUCGUAGGCGGUUCGUUAAGUCUGAUGUUAAAGACUGGGGCUCAACCCCGGGAGUGCAUUGGAUACUGGCGGACUGGAGUGUGGUAGAGGCUAGUGGAAUUCCCAGUGUAGCGGUGAAAUGCGUAGAUAUUGGGAAGAACACCAGUGGCGUAGGCGACUAGCUGGGCCAUAACUGACGCUGAGGAACGAAAGCCAGGGGAGCGAAUGGGAUUAGAUACCCCAGUAGUCCUGGCCGUAAACGAUGGAUACUAGGCGUAGUGGGUAUCGACCCCUACUGUGCCGCAGCUAACGCGAUAAGUAUCCCGCCUGAGUAGUACGGCCGCAAGGUUGAAACUCAAAGGAAUUGACGGGGGCCCGCACAAGCGGUGGAACAUGUGGUUUAAUUCGAAGCAACGCGAAGAACCUUACCAGGGCUUGACAUGUCAGGAAUCUUACUGAAAGGUAGGAGUGCUCGCAAGAGAACCUGAACACAGGUGGUGCAUGGCUGUCGUCAGCUCGUGUUGUGAAAUGUUGGGUUAAGUCCCGCAACGAGCGCAACCCUCAUGUUCUGUUGCCAGCGCGUAAUGGCGGGAACUCGGAACAAACUGCCUCUGUAAAGAGGAGGAAGGUGGGGAUGACGUCAAGUCAUCAUGCCCCUUACGCCUGGGGCUGCACACAUGCUACAAUGGCUGGUACAAACAGUUGCGAUCCCGUGAGGGUUAGCUAAUCUGAAAAACCAGUCUCAGUUCGGAUUGGAGUCUGCAACUCGACUCCAUGAAGCCGGAAUCGCUAGUACGCAGUCAGCAUACUGCGGUGAUACGUUCCCGGUCUGCACACACGCCG
rnacentral:rRNA from 1 species